AGACUAACAGAUAUAGAAGGGAAUCAUUGACAUGCAUCACAGGACUGUAGCUACAAUAUUCAGAACAUACAGAGACAUUACAUUCCUACGUUGAGAGGAGGAUUACUGACUCAUCUUCACAUCCCUGCCUCCGUAAGAGUGAGACAGACUGAAAGACCCUGGGGAAUCAGGCAGAUAUGAGGUCAGCCUGCUUGGGUCCUGAGGAAACUGCCUCAGAGUGGCACCGAGUAGACCCUCAAUGGAUGCCUUUGUCUGAGGAUUCUUUGCCCUUUCUGACCCUCACAGGAAGCCGGGCAGCAGCAGAGAAGUCGGGUGGGUACGGGACGACUGCGGAUAUUGGGACCAACAUUAUGGAAUCCGGGGCAAUGUUCUGGACGAGCUCCUUGUGUUUAGGAAGAGAUGUGACACACACAGCCCAGUCACACUGAGACACCUCCUCGACCGGCUCUGUAAACAUUUCAUCCAAGUGCUGGUGUAGAUAGAUGUUUUAUGUGGUGGGAGGGAUAGUGGACCCACACAGUGGCUCAAACACAAGCAGUGCUAUUCACUUUUAUGAUUAUGGAGUAUUUUAGGUCACCCAGUUUUCAUGUUUUGUUCAGUAUCAGAUACUGUAAAUAAUUUCUGAGAUUCAUGAAAACAACAUUCUAUAACCCAUGUGGAGAUUGUGUUGUGUUAUUUUGUAGUUGGUUGCUGCUAUUGCUUUUUAAACCACUUGCAUUUACUGUCUAAAUACAAAUGGACCUACUUGUAACUUUUGGUACCAAACGGAUGGGGGACCUCCUGUGGGUGUACUGGCUGGUACUGUAGCCUGACUGUACUGUAGCGAGCAUCUGUUGUGUGCGUCAUUCAUGUCUGAGGUUAUUAAGUGUUGUGUUGUCAUUUAACCUGUGAAUCAUGCUAACAUGACAUCGUCAGUCUGGGUGGGGCUAAAGAUGCAUUGAGGAUACUACUCUUACGUUUCUUUACCCACAAAGGUCUGAACUGAUCUGAGAUCUGACGUCAUCAGAUUGUUAACAAUACAUGCAUUAUUACUCCAGGUUCCAGCAGCUGAUCUCAGUGUUCCACAUACAGUAGCUCUUGUUGGCCAUUUUAGCAGCUGCGUCACCAUCCAGAACUCGUUGUUUUUUUACGAAGAGUUAAACUCUCCAACUGCAAUUUGUAAAAUGUUGUCUUUUCUAUUUCUAAAUUUCUAAAAUGAUUCCUUUUGAAAACUAAAUGUACACAUUUUAUUAUAACAUUUAAUUGGAAAGAUAAUCAGUCAAAAAUAAUCUGAACUACAAUGUUUACCAAAGGUUUGCCUAAACAUAUAUUUGAAUCUAUAUGUCUCAUUAUGAACAACUGUAUCAGUGAAUAGUUGGAAACCAUAACACUGGCAGCAUAUUCACACGCCACAAUAUCUCCCCCCAGAGCAUGAAUUAGAAGUCUGAAGGGAAUAGAGAAUCCAUCCAAUGUCAUUAAUCUACAUGCAGUUCCUGUUCGUGAUUUAAGGAAUGUAUGAAUGUACAUACAGCAUCUUCACGACCACAGACGAACAGGGAAGUGGGCCAUGCUAACCAUGCUCACACACUUGAGAUUCAAGAGAUGUUUUGUUCUCUUCAAUACAUCAGUCCUAUUAUAUAUUCUCUACUCCACACUACCUGGUUUGAGAUAAGAAUAUAAGAAUAGGGAGGGGGUGUGUGUAUAUGGAAUAUAAAUGUAGAUUACUCUCCCUGGCUACUCUAUUCAGUAAUCUGUGUCAGGCCGCUUAUGAAUGCGAUGUGUACCGAUUUAAAGAGCACCCCACAGUUUUUGCUCUGCCACUACACGGCUACCACCCCUUUUCAUUGAUGUCUACAUUUCCUUUCUGUUGAGGCUCCAUCAGAAUCCUCUGGUCUUUGGCUUUCACAGUGCAACGCUGUUCCCACUGGGCAAACACUAGUUGAAUCAACGUUGUUGAAAUUAAUUGGCCGUCUGUGGCCGCCUUUUCAUCUGUUCUGGCCAACUCCUCCACACUUUUUACCUUUAUUUAACUAGGCAAGUCAGUUAAGAACAAAUUCUUAUUUUCAAUGACAGCCUAGGAACAGUGGGUUAACUGCCUGUUCAGGGGCAGAACGUCAACUCGGGGAUUUGAACUUGCAACCUUCCGGUUACUAGUCCAACGCUCUAACCACUAGGCUACCCUGCCACCGCCCUUGUACUCUAACACAAGGGUGAAUGUCACUAGGCUAAUCCUGCUUUAUUCAAUUAGGAAGACUGGGAGGGAAGAGGAUGAAAAAAAGGUAUUCAAAAGCCCCUCUGGGAAAGGAAAAGUUGCUACAGAUGAUCAACACAGGAGUUGAUAGCCAAGCAUAGCUAGUUGUGUACGGAAUGAAUGUAGCUCUUGGGAGGAUGGAGAAAAGGUAUGAGAAAUUGUGUUAAAAAAGCAACGUCCAUGGAACCCUGGUCUUUUUUUACUGUGUUGUGGUUCCUUUAAGCAUUAAGGCAUGAGGGGGGCGGUAUAUUGGCCAUAUACCACAAGCCCCCGAGUUACCUUAUUGCUAUUCUAUACAGGUUACAAACGUAAUUAGAGCAGUAAAAAUAAAUGUUUUGUCAUACCCGUGGUAUACGUCUGGUAUACCACUGCUGUCAGCCAAUCAGCAUUCAGGGCUCUAACCACCCAUUUUAUAUUAGCAUAUAGCUCAUGGAAGACUCACUGGUAUACUGUUCAUGGUGCUGCACAUGAUUACGACAACAGGGGAAUCGAUUACUUUGGAGUAAUUUGAGGCUAAAGCAGAUGUGCUGGAGGCUUCUUAUUCUGGAUGUAUCUCCUUGUGUACAUGUGUCCAUAAUACAUUUGGGAAAGGAGAAAACACAUGAGAAAACCACUGUAGAUGAUCACUUGAGAACCAAUUGAUGACCUUUUAUGCUAUUUACUACUGUAUGAGAUACUGUUCCUAAUCACUGAUGCUCCUAACUUGUUCCGGGUCACUUUGUGUAUACUCAGUACACCCUCAAACACAGUAAGAAGGACCACAGCUGCUUUAGAGAGUCAUUCUUGUUUAUAACCCGACAUGCCCUGUAUUACUUGUCCUAUCACUGAUCUAUUUAUGAUUAAAGUAUUUUCUAUUGUCUGCA